GACGAACGCUGGCGGCGUGCCUAAUACAUGCAAGUAGAACGCUGAAGGGAGAGCUUGCUCUUCUGGAUGAGUUGCGAACGGGUGAGUAACGCGUAGGUAACCUGCCUGGUAGCGGGGGAUAACUAUUGGAAACGAUAGCUAAUACCGCAUAACAGCAAAUGUUGCAUGACAUUUGCUUAAAAGGUGCAAUUGCAUCACUACCAGAUGGACCUGCGUUGUAUUAGCUAGUUGGUGGGGUAACGGCUCACCAAGGCGACGAUACAUAGCCGACCUGAGAGGGUGAUCGGCCACACUGGGACUGAGACACGGCCCAGACUCCUACGGGAGGCAGCAGUAGGGAAUCUUCGGCAAUGGACGGAAGUCUGACCGAGCAACGCCGCGUGAGUGAAGAAGGUUUUCGGAUCGUAAAGCUCUGUUGUAAGAGAAGAACAAGUGUGAGAGUGGAAAGUUCACACUGUGACGGUAUCUUACCAGAAAGGGGCGGCUAACUACGUGCCAGCAGCCACGGUAAUACGUAGGUCCCGAGCGUUGUCCGGAUUUAUUGGGCGUAAAGCGAGCGCAGGCGGUUAGAUAAGUCUGAAGUUAAAGGCUGUGGCUUAACCAUAGUACGCUUUGGAAACUGUUUAACUUGAGUGCAAGAGGGGAGAGUGGAAUUCCAUGUGUAGCGGUGAAAUGCGUAGAUAUAUGGAGGAACACCGGUGGCGAAAGCGGCUCUCUGGCUUGUAACUGACGCUGAGGCUCGAAAGCGUGGGGAGCAAACAGG
rnacentral:rRNA from 1 species